UGAGAGGCUGCUUGUCGUUCUUUAUAAAAUUGACGUCCCUGCCAAUAGAUAUGAUCUCUUGUGUCUGGAAGGAUUGAUUCUAGAACUUCAGGUCUUCAAAGAAAGGAUAAAGGCACUAGUAUAUAAACAGCUAAUGCCUAACGGAAAAAUCCAGAAAUUGAUUAUCACAGAAGAGACAGCUAAACUACGCCCUUUUGCUGUGGCAGUGGUUCUCCGAAAUAUAAAAUUUACUGAAGAUCAAUAUGACAGCUUCAUUGAACUUCAAGAGAAAUUACAUCAGAAUAUUUACAGACAGAGAGCCCUGGCUGCUAUUGGUACCCAUGAUUUGGACGCUUUAUCAGGCCCAUUUACAUAUACUGCAAAGCACACUUCAGAUAUCAAGUUCAGGCCUCUAAAUAAGGGCAAGGAGUAUACAGCCUGUGAACUAAUGAACAUCUACAAGACUAACAACGACCUUAAACGUUAUUUGCAUAUCAUUGAAAAUAAAACCUUGUGGCUCGGCGCCUAAAAGAAACCCUUGUUCCCAGUUAUCUAUGACAGCAAUGGUGUUGUCCUUUCAAUGCCUCCAAUCAUCAAUGGAAAUCAUUCCAAAAUAACAGUAAAUACUAGGAAUGUAUUUAUUGAAUGCACAGGCACUGACUUCACUAAGGGAAAAAUACUUCUUGACAUUAUUGUCACUAUGUUCAAUGAAUACUGUGAGAAUCAAUUCACAGUGGAAGCAGCUGAGGUAGUUUUUCCUAAUGCAAAGUUAUAUACCUUUCCAGAACUAGCUUACCAAAAGGAGAUGGUAAGAGCUGAUCUAAUUAACAAAAAAGUUGGAAUCAGAGAAACUCCAGAAAAUCUUGCUAAGCUUCUGACCAGGAUGUAUUUAAAGUCAGAAAUCAUAGGUGAUGGGAAUCAGAUUGAGAUUGAAAUCCCUCCGACCAGAGCUGACAUUAUCCAUGCAUGUGAUACUGUAGAAGAUACAGCUAUUGCUUAUGGAUAUAACAACAUUCAGAUGACUCUCCUGAAACCAUACACCAUAGCUGAUCAAUUUCCUGUUAAUAAGCUCACUGAACUUCUCAGAUAUGACAUGGCAGCCGCUGGCUUCACUGAAGCGCUUACCUUUGCUCUGUGCUCCCAAGAACAUAUUGCUGAUAAACUUGGUUUGGAUAUCUCCGCAACGAAGACAGUCCACAUAAGUAAUCCUAAAACAGCUGAGUUUCAGGUGGCACACACUACCCUCCUUCCUGGCCUCCUAAAGACCAUAGAAGCCAAUCGGAAAUGCCCCUUCCUCUGAAACUGUUUGAAAUCUCUGACAAUGUGGAAAAAGAUUCUAGGAAAGAUAUAGGUGCAUAAAAUUACAGGCAUCUGUGUGCUGUUUAUUACAAUAAGAAUCUUGGGUUCAAGGUGAUCCAUACGCUGCUGGACAGAAUUAUGCAGCUGCUUGCCGUGCGCCCUGGUAAAGAUAAAGGCGGAUAUGUGAUCAAGGCAGCAGAAGGCCCUACUUUCUUCUCCGGGCGAUGUACUGAGAUCUUUGCCAAGGAUCAAACCAUCGGAAAACUUGGGGUCCUUCAUCCUGAUGUUAUCACCAAAUUUUGAGCUGACCAUGCCCUGCUCCUCUCUGGAAAUCAAUAUCGAGCUCUUUUUGUGAAGAUAGAUCUCUGUUGUGUGAUUCUGUUCCCAAGUGUCCCUUUCUCCUUCCCUGGUGUCCUUUAGUCCUCCACAGGAACAUCCAUUUGUACUUUAAUGUUUAAUAAAGUAUGAUAGAAAGCACUGUCUGUUUCUGUGGGUAGAGCCAUCUUUUCCCUGCAUUAGGCCAGCUUGUGCGAUACAUAAAUGUGGUAUCUGUGCGGAGCUGCCCUGCUGGGUAGAGGCCCAGUGGAGUGCGGGAGAAAUGCACUAGCAGCGUGCAGGGCGGCUGAAAGUCGGAAGUGUUCCUCAGACAUCAGCAUCUCACACUGUAACUGAUUACGCCUGAUAAAAGGAUCCCUUUCUUUUCCUUAUUGAUAAAACAAGAUAAUUGAUUAGUAUACAUGUUGCAUGAGCAUGAGAUAAUGAAAGGUUUUAGUUUUCAUGUUCUCCAUUAGACAUAUAUUCAUCAUUUGGAAACAAUAAAAAAACACCAUUUAAAAAAAAAAAAAAAUUGAGGGCGGCGCCUGUGGUUCAGUGAGUAGGGCGCCGGCCCCAUAUGCUGAGAGUGGUGGGUUCAAACCCAGCCCCGGCCAAACUGCAACAAAAAAAUAGCCGGGUGUUGGGCGGCGCCUGUGGCUCAGUGAGUAGGGCGCCAGCCCCAUAUGCCGAGGGUGGCGGGUUCAAACCCAGCCCCGGCCAAACUGCAACCAAAAAAUAGCCAGGCGUUGUGGCGCACGCCUGUAGUCCCAGCUGCUCGGGAGGCUGAGGCAAGAGAAUCGCGUAAGCCCAAGA